GCGUGAGAAUCUGCCCUCAGGAGGGGGAUAACGGCUGGAAACGGCCGCUAAUACCCCAUAUGCCGAGAGGUGAAAUGAAAUUCGCCUGAGGAUGAGCUCGCGUCUGAUUAGCUAGUUGGUGGGGUAAAGGCCUACCAAGGCUUCGAUCAGUAGCUGGUCUGAGAGGAUGAUCAGCCACACUGGGACUGAGACACGGCCCAGACUCCUACGGGAGGCAGCAGUGGGGAAUUUUCCGCAAUGGGCGAAAGCCUGACGGAGCAACGCCGCGUGAGGGAUGAAGGCCUCUGGGCUGUAAACCUCUUUUAUCAAGGAAGAGGAUCUGACGGUACUUGAUGAAUAAGCCACGGCUAAUUCCGUGCCAGCGGCCGCGGUAAUACGGGAGUGGCAAGCGUUAUCCGGAAUUAUUGGGCGUAAAGCGUCCGCAGGCGAUCUUACAAGUCUGUCGUUAAAGCGUGGAGCUUAACUCCAUUUCGGCGAUGGAAACCUGUAAGACUAGAGUGUGGUAGGGCAGAG
rnacentral:rRNA from 1 species